rnacentral:rRNA from 1 species
UCUUGGUCAUUUAGAGGAAGUAAAAGUCGUAACAAGGUUUCCGUAGGUGAACCUGCGGAAGGAUCAUUAUCAAAACAGCGGCCUUCGGGCCUCGCUGCACCCUUGUCUUUUGCGCACCGUAUUGUUUCCUCGGCGGGCUUGCCUGCCGGUUGGACAUCAUAAAACCUUUUUGUAGUUGCAAUCAGCGUCAGAAAAACAAUAAUUAUUACAACUUUCAACAACGGAUCUCUUGGUUCUGGCAUCGAUGAAGAACGCAGCGAAAUGCGAAAAGUAGUGUGAAUUGCAGAAUUCAGUGAAUCAUCGAAUCUUUGAACGCACAUUGCGCCCCUUGGUAUUCCAUGGGGCAUGCCUGUUCGAGCGUCAUUUUGUACCCUCAAGCACUGCUUGGUGUUGGGCGUUUGUCCUGCAGAGGACUCGCCUGAAAGCGAUUGGCGGCCAACGUAGUCGUGGCAGAGCGCAGCACAAUCUCGCGUCUCUCCCCUCUGCGUCGGCGUCCAUAAGCCUACAAUCUCAACGUUUGACCUCGGAUCAGGUAGGGAUACCCGCUGAACUUAAGCAUAUCAAUAAGCGGAGGAA